GACGAACGCUGGCGGCGUGCUUAACACAUGCAAGUCGAACGGAAAGGGCCUGCUUUUGUGGGAUGCUCGAGUGGCGAACGGGUGAGUAACGCUUGAGUAACCUGCCCUUUACUUUGGGAUAACUUCAGGAAACUGGGGCUAAUACCGGAUAGGAGCUCCUGCUGCAUGGUUGUGGUUGGAAAGUUUCGGCGGAUGGGGAUGGACUCGCGGCUUAUCCGUUAGUCGGUGCGGUAGAUGCGUACCAAGGCUAUGACGGGUAGCCGGCAGGAGAGGACGAGCAGCCGCACUGGAACGGAGACACGGUCCAGACGGAUUCAGGAGGCAGCAGUGCGGAAUCGGGCGCAAGAGACGAGAGUCAGACGAAGCAACGCGGCGUCAGUAUGGAGGGCCUUCGCGUUGUAGAGCACGGUCGUGGGGGACGAAAAUGCUUGGACUUGUCAGGUAGAGGGACUGACGGUAACAGUAAAAGAAGCACCGGCUAACUACGUG
rnacentral:rRNA from 1 species